CCUACGGGUGGCAGCAGUGGGGAAUAUUGCACAAUGGGGGAAACCCUGAUGCAGCGACGCCGCGUGAGUGAAGAAGUAAUUCGUUACGUAAAGCUCUAUCAGCAGGGAAGAAACACUGACCUUACGGUCAGCAGACGGUACCUGAGUAAGAAGUCCCGGCUAACUACGUGCCAGCAGCCGCGGUAAUACGUAGGGGGCAAGCGUUAUCCGGAUUUACUGGGUGGAAAGGGAGUGUAGACGGUGCGCCAAGUCUGGAGUGAAAUGCCGCAGGGUAACUGCGGAACUGCUUUGGAAACUGGCGAACUAGAGUGCGGGAGGGGUAAGCGGAAUUCCUAGUGUAGCGGUGAAAUGCGUAGAUAUUAGGAGGAACACCGGUGGCGAAGGCGGCUUACUGGACCGUAACUGACGUUGAGGCUCGAAAGCGUGGGGAGCAAACAGGAUUAGAUACCCGGGUAGUC
rnacentral:rRNA from 1 species